rnacentral:tRNA from 1 species
ACACUUUUAGUUUAAGGGUAAAACAAUAGUCUUCGAAACUAAGAACAUAGGUUCAAAUCCUAUAAGGUGUU